UGGGGAAUAUUGGACAAUGGGGGCAACCCUGAUCCAGCCAUGCCGCGUGAGUGAAGAAGGCCUUCGGGUUGUAAAGCUCUUUCGGCCGGGAAGAAAUCGCAUGGGUUAAUACCCUGUGUGGAUGACGGUACCGGAAUAAGAAGCACCGGCUAACUACGUGCCAGCAGCCGCGGUAAUACGUAGGGUGCGAGCGCUAAUCGGAAUUACUGGGCGUAAAGCGUGCGCAGGCGGUUUAGUAAGACAGGCGUGAAAUCCCCGGGCUCAACCUGGGAACUGCGCUUGUGACUGCUAAGCUAGAGUACGGCAGAGGGGGGUGGAAUUCCACGUGUAGCAGUGAAAUGCGUAGAGAUGUGGAGGAACACCGAUGGCGAAGGCAGCCCCCUGGGCCGAUACUGACGCUCAUGCACGAAAGCGUGGGUAGCAAACA
rnacentral:rRNA from 1 species